CUUAUCUGCAUUAUCAUUACGCAGACAGAAAACAUUCUAUACUAUUUAAAUACCAUGAAUAAACUAUACCAUUCCAUGAUGGUAGUUUUGUGUUUGGGGCUUCUAAUCCUAACCCAAAACCAUCAAUUAGCAGAUGCACAGGUUGAUUGCCCCACUGCCGUGCCGAAUUUGCUUCCUUGCGCGGAUUUUCUAUCCGACCUUCUUCCUCUCCUACCCAGCAAGAAAUGCUGUGAUGGUGCAAGUAAAUUCACCGGUCUGGGGGGAGUUGAUAGUUUGUGUCAAUGUCUAAAACUAAGUCAAUUCGUUUCGGGCAUUCUCCCUACCAAAUUUGGCCUAAUUCCCAAUCUAUGUGGCCUCACUGGCUUUUUACCCCUUGUGAACUGCCUGUAAGCUCAACCCAACGUCUUUGUUGUUUUAGCACCUGUCUGGGCACCAUUCUCUCCAGAUUUUAUUUUAAUCAAAAAUCCAAACGUUAUAUGAAAAAUGCUACUCAGCCAAGUGCAAAACCAGGAAGUCGAGGUGGCAACACCUCGACCCUUAGAUUUGAAAAAAGAAAAAAGAAAAAAAGUAAGUGAAAUCGGGGGUUGAGGUGGCAUCACCUCAACCCCUAUUUUUGAGCCUGUGGCUCAGCAGCAGGGCUGACGUUAUAUAGUCACGUGGACCCCACUGUGUCAACUGUUGUUGAUUGCUUUCUAAUUACCAAUCAAUUAAAGUGGAAGGUGAAAGGAUCAUUGGGCCCCUUAACUUUUGCUUUCAAUCUUCUUAAAUAGAAUAUUUUUUUAAUUUUAAAAUGGAAAAAGACGACUGCCUUUUAGCAUGUGUUUGGCCCCCAUUAUUCCUCAUUACAUUAAAUUAAAUUUUUCUCUCUCCUACUUUUAACCACACAAUCUUCAAUAAAAUAAUAUUACACGUAAAUCAAAAACUUUUCAACCACUCAUUUUUCAAAAAAAUACUAUUCAUCUCAUUAUAAUCUAGGAAUAAUGGGGCUCAAACGGGGGCUUAAUUUGUCAAUUAUUGUGGUUGGAGCUGGUUGCAUGGUAUUAUUUAUAAUGUUUGGAUUUUUUUUAUUAAAAUUUGGAGAGACUGGCACCAAUUUUCCAGUAAAAUAAAUGAAGUUUUUUAUUAAUUGUUGACAAAGUAAUAACUUAUUCUCUUCACUUCUUAAAAUGAUGCAGCGUCCCAGGAGCGCCACCAAAGGUUUAAAGUUGGAUGGACCGGAAAGAGUAGUAGGACUCUAGCACCGGCCGGAUGUAAUGCAACAAGAAAAUGUCAACCUUUUUAUUCAUGUUUCUCCUAGCAGACAGCUUAUGAUGUUUGAAAAAAUAAAUUUCG
rnacentral:lncRNA from 1 species